CCUACGGGUGGCUGCAGUGGGGAAUAUUGCACAAUGGCGGGAACCCUGAUGCAGCGACGCCGCGUGAGUGAAGACGUCUCUCUGUAUGUAAAGCCCUAUCAGCAGGGAAGAAAAUGAUGGUACCUGAUUCAGAAUCCCCGUCUCACUUCGUGCCAGCAGCCGCGGUAAUACGUAGGGUGCAAGCGUUAUCCGGAUUUACUGGGUGUAAGGGGAGCGUAGACGGCAGCACAAGUCGGGAGUGAAAUGCCGGGGCUUAACCCCGGAACUGCUUUGGAAACUGUGUAGCUAGAGUGCAGGAGAGGUAAGUGGAAUUCCUAGUGUAGCGGUGAAAUGCGUAGAUAUUAGGAGGAACACCAGUGGCGAAGGCGGCUUACUGGACUGUAACUGACGUUGAGGCUCGAAAGCGUGGGGAGCAAACAGGAUUAGAUACCCUAGUAGUC
rnacentral:rRNA from 1 species